CCUACGGGAGGCAGCAGUGAGGAAUAUUGGUCAAUGGCCGGAAGGCUGAACCAGCCAUGCCGCGUGAAGGUCAGUGCCCUAUGGGCGUUAAACUUCUUUUGUGCGGGAGCAAUAAUGGUCACGUGUGGCCAGACGAUAGUACCGUACGAAUAAGCAUCAGCUAACUCCGUGACAGCAGCCGCGGUAAUACGGGGGAUGCAAGCGUUAUCCGGAGUUAUUGGUUUUAAAGGGUGCGUAGGGUGUGAGGUAAGUCAGCGGUGAAAUGCCCCCGCUCAACGGGGUGAAGUGCCAUUGAUACUGCCUUGCUGGAAUGCGAAUGCAGUGGGAGGAAUGUGUGGUGUAGCGGUGAAAUGCAUAGAUAUCACACAGAACACCGAUUGCGAAGGCAUCUCACGAAUCCGCGAUUGACGCUGAUGCACGAAAGCGUGGGUAUCAAACAGGAUUAGAUACCCGUGUAGUC
rnacentral:rRNA from 1 species